UACGUAGGGUGCAAGCGUUGUCCGGAAUUAUUGGGCGUAAAGAGUUCGUAGGCGGUUUGUCGCGUCCGUUGUGAAAGCUUGGGGCUCAACCCCAGGUCUGCAGUGGAUACGGGCAGGCUAGAGUCAGGUAGGGGAGAACGGAAUUCCUGGUGUAGCGGUGAAAUGCGCAGAUAUCAGGAGGAACACCGGUGGCGAAGGCGGUUCUCUGGGCCUGUACUGACGCUGAGGAUCGAAAGCGUGGGGAGCGAACAGG
rnacentral:rRNA from 1 species